AGUAGCUCCACUGAAAUGUGAUGCCAUUGGUUUUCAGCAAAGGUUUCUUUCUGCAGGGCUGCAAACAGAGAUCAGCUGCUACUGUGUAUACACAACUAGGGAGCAAAUCAAGCAGCACAUUUAAGCAGCCUUUUUAACCCUGAGACUUUCCAAGAUUUCUUCUUCACGCAGGAAGUUUCCUUUAUAUUGUCAGCUGUAGCACUUUGCUCAUGUAAUGAGAUCAGAGCUAGAAUCACUGCUGCACAGUAGAAAGACUUCCUUAAGACAUUUGUCCUUGAAACUGCACCAAACUCUUGGAAGAACCCAGAACCUGUCUUGGAGGAGUGAGUGCCUGGUGCAGUCUCUGCCUGACUCCUUGCACAACAAAUGAGACAUCACGUAGCUUCAUAAUUU
rnacentral:lncRNA from 1 species